rnacentral:rRNA from 1 species
UACGGAGGAUCCGAGCGUUAUCCGGAUUUAUUGGGUUUAAAGGGUGCGUAGGUGGUUUGAUAAGUCAGCGGUGAAAGUUUGCAGCUUAACUGUAAAAAUGCCGUUGAAACUGUCGGACUUGAGUGUAAAUGAGGUAGGCGGAAUGCGUGGUGUAGCGGUGAAAUGCAUAGAUAUCACGCAGAACUCCGAUUGCGAAGGCUGCUUACUAAGCUACAACUGACACUGAAGCACGAAAGCGUGGGGAUCAAACAGGAUUAGAUACCCUGGUAGUCCACGCAGUAAACGAUGAUUACUAGCUGUUUGCGAUACACAGUAAGCGGCAAAGCGAAAGCGUUAAGUAAUCCACCUGGGGAGUACGACGGCAACGGUGAA